GAGAGACUCGAGGUUCUGUUAGGAAGAGAAUGUGCACCCCACUCUUUUCUAAAUCUCUGACAAUGCUACUAAACUGUGGAUAGCUCAGGUCAAUCAUGGCUCAUUCACUUUGGUUAUCUCAAAACAGGGCGUCAUAUAAAAUCUGCCAAUGAUUUCUGUGGGGCGUAACAGAACUUCUCAAAAGGCCUCAACAUAUGGAAUUCCAUGCUGCUGUGCAAAUAGCCUGGCAGGAGAGAUCUGGUGUGUGAGGGUCUGAGUCCUCCAGCUGGAGAAUGAGGAGUUGCCCAGCUUCCUCCAGGCCUGCAGAGUGGACGUCUGGGGCCAGAUUGAUUUGCUGCUGCAGCUCUGUGAAACUCUCAGAGGUGAUAACCCUAAACACCUAUUUAACAACCAAGUUGUCACGAAGAUAGUACAAAUCAAGAAGAAAAAAAAAAGAGCACAGUUUCAGAGGGAAUAUUGGAUGCAAUUAAAGUUAUUGGUGAUUCACUUACCAUGGGGCAGGGAGAACCAAAGCACAAGGCAUUGCAAACUGUAACAUAACACAGACAGCAAUACAAUCCAAGGAGGAUCCCAUUAAACGCUGGUAUAAUUGAAGAUCACUGAAGAAUCCAAUGUGACUUACAGGAAAGUAUAUGGGGAACAAGCAGAGUUCUGCCAGGACAUCCGCUCCAGGAUGAGGAGGGACAACAUGGAAAUGAAUGAAGCCAGUGCACUAGGUGGAGCAUUCAUGCAUCUGAAAGCCAGAUCUGAGGGAAAGUGUGACAUGAAAGCAAACAUGUGAUGUCAUAGAAAACAAAAAAUACUGAAAGGCAUCUUGUACUAUGAAUGUCUUCUGUUCAGCUGAGCACCCCCUGAUAAAUCACGGUGUGAGUUCAUCCUCAUAAAACUAUGUAAAUCUAAGAUUUAGGAUGAAUACUAAGAUUUCCAAGAGUGAUGAACAUUUAUUUUGCAAUGGGUAAGGCUGGUAUUUCUUUGGCUUGUUCUGGGUCAUCAAAUUGUCCUCUUAAUUUUUUCUUAUUUCUCUGUCUCUCUCUGUCUCUCUCACUGUGUGUGUGUGUGUGUGUGUGUGAAACUUCUAAGUUUUUAUUUAAAUGGUACAUUUGAUAUUUUACCUUUCCAUUACCACUUGAAAAAAGUUUCAAGAUAAUGUACCCAGCCUAAAUGAUUAACAUUAAUUACAUCAGAAAACAAUAGAAAUUCAGAUAGAUUAAAGAAUAAUGUAAAAAUACAUACAUACAUACAUACAAAAUAUAGGUGAAUAUUUUUGUGAUCUUGGGAUACAAAAUUACUUCAUGUAAUGGGUUGAAUACUGUUCUGCCAAAAUUCAUGUUCACAGAAACCUGUGAAUGCGACUGUAUUUGGAAAUAAAGUCUUGGCAGAUACAGUCAAAUUAAGAUGA